rnacentral:rRNA from 1 species
AGAGUUUGAUCCUGGCUCAGGACGAACGCUGGCGGCGUGCCUAACACAUGCAAGUCGAGCGGAGACAGCGAGUAGCUUGCUAUGAGCUGUUUUAGCGGCGGACGGGUGAGUAACGCGUGAGCAACCUUUCCCAGACAGGGGAAUAACACACCGAAAGGUGUACUAAUACCGCAUAAGACCACGGUUUCACAUGGAACUGAGGUAAAAGAAUUAUCGGUUUGGGGUGGGCUCGCGUCCGAUUAGGUAGUUGGUGAGGUAACGGCCCACCAAGCCGACGAUCGGUAGCCGACCUGAGAGGGUGAUCGGCCACAUUGGGACUGAGACACGGCCCAAACUCCUACGGGAGGCAGCAGUGGGGAAUAUUGGGCAAUGGGGGGAACCCUGACCCAGCAACGCCGCGUGGAGGAAGAAGGUUUUCGGAUCGUAAACUCCUGUCCUUGGAGACGAGUAGAAGACGGUAUCCAAGGAGGAAGCCCCGGCUAACUACGUGCCAGCAGCCGCGGUAAUACGUAGGGGGCAAGCGUUGUCCGGAAUAAUUGGGCGUAAAGGGCGCGUAGGCGGCUCGGUAAGUCUGGAGUGAAAGUCCUGCUUUUAAGGUGGGAAUUGCUUUGGAUACUGUCGGGCUUGAGUGCAGGAGAGGUUAGUGGAAUUCCCAGUGUAGCGGUGAAAUGCGUAGAGAUUGGGAGGAACACCAGUGGCGAAGGCGACUAACUGGACUGUAACUGACGCUGAGGCGCGAAAGUGUGGGGAGCAAACAGGAUUAGAUACCCUGGUAGUCCACACUGUAAACGAUGAAUGCUAGGUGUAGGGGGUAUCGACCCCUUCUGUGCCGCAGUCAACACAAUAAGCAUUCCGCCUGGGGAGUACGGCCGCAAGGUUGAAACUCAAAGGAAUUGACGGGGGCCCGCACAAGCAGCGGAGCAUGUGGUUUAAUUCGACGCAACGCGAAGUAACCUCACCA